GAUAAAACACUUUGUUUGCGAUUAGAGCGCGGUUUACAACACUACAUUUACAAUUAUGGAUUUCAAGUUGAAACUUACUUUUAUUGUCGUAUUAAUCAGUGUAGUUUUAUGUUUAGCUAUAUCUUUUACACUAGUUAUGACUAUGCCCGCUUUGCCAUCAACUGUCAGAAAUGAUCAAAUCUGCCUGCCAAGCGAGUUAGGACCUCUGAAAUGCGGCACAACAGCAGUUCUUCUCCACGAGUAUUUAAACAGGACAAUUGCAACGCAAUAUGACGAAAUCAAAACAAAAGACGAAGAGCGACAACAAGAACACCUUAAUAAAAACAUACUUCGCUUAAUGAACAUCUACGACAAAACAUUCUGGGAAAUGAAGCCAGCGGCCAAACUCACUGGAAAAGAACAGCCUGAUACAAGAAAAGAUGAUAUCGGUGCUGACAUGGUACCUGUAAAAGAAUGGUGCCAUGGGAGAGAACUUCACGACACCAGCGGGUUCGAAAGAUACGGCAUUCGAUACAGAAAUGGCCGUUUAGUCGUACCAGCAGAUGGCACAUAUUUCAUCUAUUCUUAUGUCGAUUUAUUUGAGUCAUGUAAUCCAUCAACCGGGAAGCCAGAUGUAAACGAUACCACUAAACCUAUUAAGCAUGGCAUCUUUAAAUUUAAUAUUCUUGAUGGGGAGGAAAAAGAAUUAGUUUCAAAUGUACAACCACAUACGGUUUCCAGUAACAGAUAUUUCAAUUCUUACAGCAGCUAUGUCUCGUCCUUUGCAGAUCUAAAAGCUGGUGACGAGCUUUCUGUAAAGGUUAGCGAUAUAACGUAUCUAAAAUAUACGCGAGAUAAUUAUUUCGGUGUCAAUUUGAUUUGAAUCUGAGUCCUCACCAAGGGAAACACGUGCUCGUCGUUGUGAGGGCACAGUUUGUCGAUGCUUGUUUGGCGUUUGUUUAUAGUGUAUUGCCUACAUUAGAAGCUAAGAUAUUCAUAAAUUUAAAAGUGCUAUUCCCUCAUAUACUUAAAACAGUUUUAGUUUGUCACAUUUUGUUAAGUAUAUUUGAAUUUAAGGCGAAAAUAUUAAUUAGCAAACUAAUGGCCCGAAACACUAGCUUAUGCAUUUUCGAAAUAAAAUUACUAAAGGCUUCUAAUCAUAAAGUAACUUAACGGGAGCUAUGAAACUUUAUGACUACUUUGAAAACUGAAUUCAAUGAGACCAAACGAAAUCGGUGAUGGAAACUUUUUUUCAUGAAAAUGGUACCAAUGCUGAUAGAUACUCGCAUAAUAGAUGUUCGCAUACAAAAAUGACUUUUAAGUCUGGGGUCAUUUUGUUCAUAAGGCUAAAAGCCAUGCAAUCUGUAACAUACUAAAUCACAGUUGAUGCAAAAUGCAUGAUUAAUGAUUUCUAUAAAGCCUGUCUGUUCCGCUAGAUUCCAACAUAUUUCCAAAAUUAUAACUUGACAAUUUAAACAAAUAUUUAAUGUAUAAAUUAGACAGACCGAUAAGCAUCGAAAUGUUUAAUGUAUAAAUAAGACAGACCGAUAAGCAUCGAAAUGUUCAAUGUAUAUAUUAGACAGACCGAUAAGCAUCGAAAUGUUCAAUGUAUAAAUUAGACAGACCCAGAAGCGUCGAAAUGUUUAAUGUAUAAAUCAGACAGACCAAUAAGCAUCGAAAUGUUUAAGUGUUUAUUAGACAAAACGACAAGCAUCGAACUGUUUAAUGUAUCAGUCAGACAAACCGAUAAGCAUCGAAUUGUUUAAUGUAUAAAUUAGAAAAAUAAAUAUGCAUAGAAAUGUUUAAUGUAUAAAUUAGACGAACCGACAAGCAUCGACGAGCUGACUAAGUUCCCCCAAAAUAAGCUUAAAGUCGUGGACUCGUAAUGACCAUCGGUGAUUUCCGUUCUAAUACAUUUUCUCUCGUAUGUUAUUCCGGCUUCUCCGGGUGUUUUAGAAGCCAUUUCUGGCAUAAAACUAAAUUUAUGGCAGAAGAAUGCCAAAACUGGAGACAAGACAAAGAAAUCAACUGACUUUGUUUGAGCCAAAGAAACCAUCGGAAAAUACCGAGGUAGAAUUCGGAUCUUAGUAAUCGCCCGGUAAUUGCGGAGUAUCAUUACGGGCCCAUCACCUUAAGAUGCAUAAUUAGAUAGACGGUAAUUUGCAUAAAUAACCUUAUCCCUCGUAGAGUAGCAAGUGUGUUUAUGUAAAUCAUCAAUCAGUCGCUUUAUAUUGACAGAAGUAUGUACCAAGUCAAAAAUGUACGUAGCUUUUAAACCUAUGUUUGUCUACCGUCUAAGCUUUAAGGUUGUAUUCAUUGUAAAUUUAUAUCAUGCUCGCCUUGUUAAAUUAGCCCGGCAUUUCUCUUCCAUUGAACUGUAACGUUACUUUAAGUUAAAACGAACACAUCAACACCAAACAUGGUGCUUUAUUUUUUGUCUAAAACUUAUUCACUACUUGUAGUCACUUAUCUUUUUUGUGAUCAGUCUAGAAAGUACAUAAAUCACAUACUUUCGAAAAUACUAGUAUUCAAUUCAACAGUUAUUAUUUUAAAAGUACAUAUGGUUUAAGUCUGAGUGUUUGAAAUGUACUUUUAUAAGGCAGUCUUUACAACUGUAAAAUAGAAAAAGUGGAAACUCCACAGGUCGCUCAACACAACAAAAACGAAAAUAUUGCAGGCUUGGUUUGAUGGAACCUGUUCAUGGACGGUAGUUAAAAUGCAUGCUACCGUCCAUGCCCUCUAGCCCCGGGUUGAGCAGAACUCAGCAUUUACACAUAAAGUACAAAAAAAACUAUUUAGAGACACCCGCAGAUGUAAGUUUGUUAAAACAAGAAUUAUACAAAGUAAUGAGAUAACAGCUUGAUUUGGGCUCUGUCAUCCACCAGUUAAGUAUAAAAACCUGAACACUAUUAUAUUAGAAACUAAGUGACAUAUCUGGAAAAGCAGAAAUGCCACAAAACAUGAGAAAAUACGCUUGAACAAAAACUAUGUAUAUCUGUCUAUAAAAGAUCUGUGAUAAGCCAGUUUUAAUGGAAAACUGAUAAAUCAUUUCUUUCUGUGUUAAAGAAACAGUUUCAUUGACUUUCAAGAAUAUACUAGUCACUAUAUUAUCACUUGCUUUUUCGUUUCGAGUAAGAGUUAAACUAAUGUGACUAACAAAAGUUAUUUUCAAUAUUUUGUUUUUCUAAUUUGCUGAUGUAAUUGUUAUAGUAUGUUCGAUUACGUUAAAUGUUUUUUCUCAUUGCAAAUACAAAAAAGUAAACUCAGUCUUUAAGCAUCUUGAAAAUAUUUGUUUUUUAAUCACAUAUUUCAUGAAUAUACAUGUCUUAAGCUUUACAUAACGUGAAGAAAUUAUACUCAUUUACAGAAAAUCAAAUGGUUUCCAUAUCGAAUGACCUGUAGUUGAGAGAUACAAUUAUUGUGUGUAGUUAUAUUUUUCUAGUAUAUGAUUAUAUGUAUGUAAACAUGUAUAUUUGUAUAAAUUAUUAGAAUAAAAAUUUUUAUUCUAUUUAACAUAAGAUGAUAUAGUAAACCGUGAUGCCUUAUAAUACAUAUAAAUGCUUAUAUUUAAUACAUAAUGCGCAGGAGUAUAUGACCACGUUGUCUAUGACAAAUGUAUUAUAUUACAUAAUAUAAAAUGUACAUUAUGUU
rnacentral:misc_RNA from 1 species